UGGCCCUACAAGUAAGCACCCACUUUUCAGU
rnacentral:piRNA from 1 species